rnacentral:rRNA from 1 species
AUUGAACGCUGGCGGUAGGCCUAACACAUGCAAGUCGAGCGGAUGCACGGAGCUUACUCCUUGUUUCAGCGGCGGACGGGCGGGCAAUGCAUAGGAACAUGCCAGGUUGUGGGGGAUAGCGUCAGGACGCGGGCGCACUUACCGUAAUAGUGCAGAGGACGUACGUGGGAAAUCAUCGGAUCUUCCGAUCUCGGGUGAGCCUAUGUCGGAUUAGCUAGUUGGUGGGGUAAAGGCCUACCAAGGCGACGAUCCGUAACUGGUCUGAGAGGAUGAUCAGUCACACUGGAACUGAGACACGGUCCAGACUCCUACGGGAGGCAGCAGUGGGGAAUAUUGGACAAUGGGCGAAAGCCUGAUCCAGCCAUGCCGCGUGGGUGAAGAAGGUCUUCGGAUUGUAAAGCACUUUUAUUGGGAAAGAAGAGCAGUAAGUUAAUACCUUGCUGUUUUGACGGUACCAACAGAAUAAGCACCGGCUAACUUCGUG